rnacentral:rRNA from 1 species
GACGAACCGAGCGAACGUUGUUCGGAAUAACUGGGCUAGAAGGCGCGAGAGCGGGCCGCCAAGUUCGAGGUGAAAUCCUCCGGCUCAACCGGAGAACUGCCUCGAAUACUGGAGCCUCGAGGCGGGUAGGGGCACGCGGAACUGUGGGUGGAGCGGUGAAAUGCGUUGAUAUCCACAGGAACUCCGGUGGCGAAGGCGGCGUGCUGGACCCGAUCUGACGCUGAGGCGCGAAAAGCGUGGGGGAGCGAACAGG